GACGAACGCUGGCGGCGUGCUUAACACAUGCAAGUCGAACGCUGAAGCUCAGCUUUUGUUGGGUGGAUGAGUGGCGAACGGGUGAGUAACACGUGAGUAACCUGCCUCCUUCUUUGGGAUAACGCCCGGAAACGGGUGCUAAUACUGGAUAUUCACUGGUCUUCGCAUGGGGGUUGGUGGAAAGGGUUUUUCUGGUGGGGGAUGGGGUCGCGGCCUAUCAGCUUGUUGGUGGGGUGAUGGCCUACCAAGGCUUUGACGGGUAGCCGGCCUGAGAGGGUGACCGGUCACAUUGGGACUGAGAUACGGCCCAGACUCCGACGGGAGGCAGCAGUGGGGAAUAUUGCACAAUGGGCGCAAGCCUGAUGCAGCGACGCCGCGUGAGGUAUGGAGGCCUUCGGGUUGUGAACCUCUUUCGCUCAUGGUCAAGCCGCAACAAUGGUUGUGGUGAGGGUAGUGGGUAAAGAAGCGCCGGCUAACUACGUG
rnacentral:rRNA from 1 species